UAGGCUACUGUCCUGGUUUCAGCUGGGAUGGGGUUAAUUUUCUUUCUAGUAGCUGGUAUAGUGUUAUGUUUUGGAUUCAGUAUGAGAAGAAUGUUGAUAACGCACUGAUGUUUUCAGUUGUUGCUAAGUCAUGUUUAUACUAAGUCAAGGAUUUUUCAGCUUCUCAUGCCCAGCCAGCAAGAAAGCUGGAGGAGCACAAGGAGUUGGGAGGGCACACAGCCGGGACAGCUGACCCAAACUGGCCAAAGGAAUAUUCCAUACCACGCCCAGUAUAUAAACUGGGGGAAGUUGGCCAGAGGGGGUGGAUCGCUGCUCAGGAACUAACUGGGCAUCAGUCGGCAAGUGACCCCGUCAAUCCAAACUCCAAAAGAAAACAAGUUCAUCAAAUGUCAUCUCAAGAAUAUCCAUCUGCAUCCAAGCCACAUGAGUGUGAGAAAUGACUUGUCGGGCAAUACUACAGCUAGCGUUCGCCUGUUCCGAUCCAUCUCCUGUCAGCUUUCACACCCCUGUUGACAAACUGAAUUUCACCUUGAUUUCAUCUUUCCAGAUAAUACAGAUUAACUGGGAGCUGGGUCAUUUUUUUUGUUUGCUUUGAAAGCAUGCAGAAAGAGAAAUCCUACAGAAGAGAUACAGAUGUUGUCUGAGAGAAUCCUGCCCUCCUAGUAAGCGAUUCAGACCAACGGAUUGCUGGAAACAGAGACACCAGGGUUACCAGCAACUUCUGUAAGACUUUGAGAGCAGUAAAUGUAAAUGCUUGUGUUAUUAUGCU